GACGAACGCUGGCGGCGUGCCUAAUACAUGCAAGUUGAGCGAUGAAGCUUGGUGCUUGCACCAAUUUGAAGAGCAGCGAACGGGUGAGUAACGCGUGGGGAAUCUGCCUUUGAGCGGGGGACAACAUUUGGAAACGAAUGCUAAUACCGCAUAACAACUUUAAACAUAAGUUUUAAGUUUGAAAGAUGCAAUUGCAUCACUCAAAGAUGAUCCCGCGUUGUAUUAGCUAGUUGGUGAGGUAAAGGCUCACCAAGGCGAUGAUACAUAGCCGACCUGAGAGGGUGAUCGGCCACAUUGAGACUGAGACACGGCCCAAACUCCUACGGGAGGCAGCAGUAGGGAAUCUUCGGCAACGGACGAAAGUCUGACCGAGCAACGCCGCGUGAGUGAAGAAGGGUUUCGGAUCGUAAAACUCUGUUGGUAGAGAAGAACGUUGGUGAGAGUGGAAAGCUCAUCAAGUGACGGUAACUACCCAGAAAGGGACGGCUAACUACGUG
rnacentral:rRNA from 1 species